rnacentral:rRNA from 1 species
CGGAGGGUGCGAGCGUUGUCCGGAAUCACUGGGCGUAAAGGGCGCGUAGGCGGCCUGAUAAGUAGGGGGUGAAAUCCUGCGGCUUAACCGCAGGGUUGCCUUCUAAACUGUCAGGCUGGAGCACAGUAGAGGCAGGUGGAAUUCCCGGUGUAGCGGUGGAAUGCGUAGAGAUCGGGAAGAACAUCAGUGGCGAAGGCGGCCUGCUGGGCUGUUGCUGACGCUGAGGCGCGACAGCGUGGGGAGCAAACAGGAUUAGAUACCCUGGUAGUCCACGCCGUAAACGAUGGGCACUAGGCGUCGGGGGGAGCGACCCUCCCGGUGCCGUCGCUAACGCAGUAAGUGCCCCGCCUGGGGAGUACGGCCGCAAGGCUG